rnacentral:rRNA from 1 species
UACGAAGGGGGCUAGCGUUGCUCGGAAUCACUGGGCGUAAAGGGCGCGUAGGCGGCGCAGUUAGUCAGGCGUGAAAGCCCUGGGCUCAACCUGGGGAUUGCGCUUGAGACGGCUGGGCUUGAGGACGGAAGAGGCUCGCGGAAUUCCCAGUGUAGCGGUGAAAUGCGUAGAUAUCGGAAGGAACACCAGUGGCGAAAGCGGCCAUCUGGGACAACACUGACGCUGAAGCACGAAAGCGUGGGGAGCAAACAGG